CCUACGGGCGGCAGCAGUGAGGAAUAUUGGUCAAUGGUCGGGAGACUGAACCAGCCAAGCCGCGUGAGGGAUGAAGGUACAGAGUAUCGUAAACCUCUUUUGUCAGGGAACAAAGGCGGGGACGUGUCCCCGGAUGAGUGUACCUGAAGAAAAAGCAUCGGCUAACUCCGUGCCAGCAGCCGCGGUAAUACGGAGGAUGCGAGCGUUAUCCGGAUUUAUGGGGUUAAAAGGGUGCGCAGGCGGUCUGUUAAGUCAGCGGUCAAAGCCCGGGGAACAACCCCGGCCCGCCGUUGAAACUGGCAGUAUCGAGUGGGAGAGAAGUAUGCGGAAUGCGCGGUGUAGCGGUGAAAUGCAUAGAUAUCGCGCAGAACUCCGAUUGCGAAGGCAGCAUGCCGGCUCCACACUGACGCUGAGGCACGAAAGCGUGGGUAUCGAACAGGAUUAGAUACCCUAGUAGUC
rnacentral:rRNA from 1 species